AUGACACCCUUGGGAUGGGCACCUUCACUGUCGGGGCAGCGCUGCUGUGCCCAGGAGGGCAUCGCUACCCACGGCCGGCUGCACCAUCGCUCCUGUCCCCCAGGGGACAUCCGGGGACAGCCAGGGGACAGCGGGGAGCUGCUCCCCGUCCUGCACUGCAGACCCGGUUUUCUGCAGAGGGAACACCUGGCAGUGGAGGGCUGGGCCGAUGCAGCCCCUCGGAGUGGGUGGUGCCAGGCUGGCCCUGUCAGUGUCCCCACAGCUCCCCAUGCCGUGUCAGCGGUGCCAGGCUGGCCCUGUCAGUGUCCCCACAGCUCCCCAUGCCGUGUCAGCGGUGCCAGGCGCUCACCCCGUGCCCUGUGCCGGGCUGGGUGCCCAUACAUGGUCCGGGCCAUGGAGAGGGCUCGGGGCUGCCAGGGAGGUUAUCGGGAGCGCCGAGCGCUCCGGAGCCGCCGCAGCUGCCGCGCUGGAUUAGUGCCGAUAAGGAAGGGGCCCUGGACACGGCAGGAAUUCAGCUCGCUCACUGACGAGGCAGAGAGCCGCUCUCCAGCAGCCCCUGCGGAGCCUGACCUGAUUCCGCUGCAAGUUCCAACCCCCCAGACCCUGCCAUGGCCCCUUCCCGCAGUUUGUGCUCCACACUCCCGGACUGGCACAGCGGUGCCCACCAGGGCUGUCCCAGCAGUUCCCAUCGCACCCACAGAGGAGGCAGCUCUGGCCCCUUUCCGCAGUUUGUGCUCCACACUCCCGGACUGGCACAGCGGUGCCCACCAGAGCUGGCCCCAGCAGCUCCCAUCGCACCCACAGAGGAGGGAGCCCCACCGACCCUCCCAGAGCCCGCCUUGCUCACCACAGCCAGCGGCAUCCCAGGGUAACUCCCGUCCCUCCCUCCCUCCCACGGUUUGCAUUCCGAAGGCAAAGUGUUUACCCGAACACUGCAGGGUUUCAUCCCCCUCUGCUGCAGCUGCCGGGCGGACAAACCCCCUCGUUUGCUGAGAUGCAGAUUUCGGGGUAAUUACCAGUUCUUAGAAACGCACACAAAGAGCCCACAGCUGGUGACACAGUCACUGCGAGCUGCACAAGCCCCUUUUCUUGUGUUGGAAGCUGCAAAUUCAGCCACUUUACCCCACGAGGCCUCUGUGUGUGCACAAGGGCUGCGACCCAGCUCUCGUGCUGGGAUCGAUAUUAAUUGGCUCCCAUAUUUCUCAAACAAAUAAUUCACCAGAUUUUUGCUGUUUUGCUGCUGUUUGCCCGCCGCUGGAGCAUUCCCUGAAGAACACACUCGGGGAAUUUUGUGUUAUUUCCUGCCCUGAGCCCCUCCACGUGGCACUGGGCCCUGCCCAGCCAUACACACACACACCCCACAAAGGCUUUGCUCAGCGUUUGGCUCCUCGCACGCAGCGCGCCAGAGUUCGCUGCUGGGCCGAGCCAAGCACGCAGCACACAUAUGCUCUUUGUUUUUCCAUCUCAGUUCCUAGAAUUCACACACUUGCCUGCGCUCAGCCUUAUCUCUGCACGAGUGAGACGCCAGGGUUGGCAGUGUCCCUGCUCCCAAGGCAAACACGGCGCCGCGCAGCGCAAACCAACCCAGCUCGCCUCCAAGGGAGCAUAUGCCUUGCAAAGAGCCACAGGUUUUUUGGGUUGCUCCAAGCUGGCCCACCCACCUCUCCCUGAAGCUGAAAUAAAGUGAGAAGAGCGAGCGCUGCCGAGGGUUUG
rnacentral:lncRNA from 1 species